AAAUAAAAUUGAGCUUAAUUUUUGCUGUCUCUGAUAUCCGAUUUUCUCUAGAAUAUCUAUAUUGAGGUUACAAAUACGGUUUAUAAAUAGUAAAUUACGAAAGAGAUCUCGUUAUAGCGACCCAAAUCGAUUACCAGCUUCCUUAUUUUCUCACACAAUUGAGGCCAUCAGGCUUUCGCUCAGCCGCUCUGUCGUCGAACUUAAGCUUAUUCUUUCAUUAAAGUGUAUCCCGGGAUGUAUGGUCAAUUUAGCAGAUUACUUUUUUUGCGGCACCUAGACGUCGUUACGUGGGCCACUGAAAUUUAAGGUGUUAAAAACAGGAAUUUGCGAAAACGACAAGUACCUUUGACAGGUUAGAAAAUUGAUAGUCCCACCCGUUUACGUAUAAGUAUAGCAAGGCAUUUAAAGCACGUGGAAAAGCAAGCGAGGACAUUAGCUUUGUGCGAUGUUCUCUAGUACCUGACUGGCAGAGUUUCAACAAAUUUUACUAUCAAAGAUUGAGUAUAAAAUCGUUUUGUGGCUUUAUUGUACAAAAAAAGAACACAGUACGAGGAAGUUUUAUAAUAAGUGGGUCACAAAACUGAGAUGUAAAGACGUAAAGACGCAUUAAAUUUAUGACAUCAUUAAAGUUUUUAUGAAUCAACUUUUAA